rnacentral:rRNA from 1 species
GAUGAACGCUAGCGGCGUGCCUAAUACAUGCAAGUCGAGCGAACAGACGAGGAGCUUGCUCCUCUGACGUUAGCGGCGGGCGGGUGAGUAACACGUGGAUAACCUACCUAUAAGACUGGGAUAACUUCGGGAAACCGGAGCUAAUACCGGAUAAUAUAUUGAACCGCAUGGUUCAAUAGUGAAAGACGGUUUUGCUGUCACUUAUAGAUGGAUCCGCGCCGCAUUAGCUAGUUGGUAAGGUAACGGCUUACCAAGGCGACGAUGCGUAGCCGACCUGAGAGGGUGAUCGGCCACACUGGAACUGAGACACGGUCCAGACUCCUACGGGAGGCAGCAGUAGGGAAUCUUCCGCAAUGGGCGAAAGCCUGACGGAGCAACGCCGCGUGAGUGAUGAAGGUCUUCGGAUCGUAAAACUCUGUUAUUAGGGAAGAACAAAUGUGUAAGUAACUAUGCACGUCUUGACGGUACCUAAUCAGAAAGCCACGGCUAACUACGUG